AUGUCGCCGCCGGCACCGGCGCUGCUGGACGAGCUCCUCGAGGAGAUCUUCCUCCGCCUUCCGCCGGACGAGCCAGAGCACCUCGUGCGCGCCUCCCUCUCCAGCAAGCGCUGGCUCGGCCUCCUCUCCGGCGCUCGAUUCCGCGGCCGCUACCGUGAGCUGCAUGGAGCUCCCCCCAUGCUGGGCUUCCUUUAUUUCUUCCACUCCAACUCCCGCCCGGAGACGGAAGAUAACAUCCCACACUUUCUCCCCACCACCAAAUUUCGUGCGUGCAUCCCCGACGACGACUGGUUGGGCUACAGUGCGUUGGACUGCCGUCAUGGCCGCGUUCUCAUUGGCGAAGUGGCCUAUACACCAAUGACGCUCGUCGUUUGGGACCCCAUGACGGGCUGCCGGAGGGAGCUGGAGGCGCCCCCCCUGGUAGACAACACCUAUGGGGCCGCGGUGGUCUGCGCCGUGGCCGGCUGUGACCACCACACUUGUCACGCAGGCCCCUUCCAGGUCGUCUUUGUCGGCCUGGACCAUUGUCAUGAAGAUGAGUGUGUUGCACGGGCGUGCGUGUCCUUGCCGGUGACGAGUAACCACAGCAAGCCGGGCCUUCAAUCUCCUUUUGAUAAGUGGAGCAAGCCGUGCUCUGCUCUUCAUCUUGACUCCGAUUUGUACAUCUACGAAGCGCCCCCUGUCUUCGUCCAAGACGCACUUCAUUUCAAGCUUUGUAACUGUGCCGAACAUCGCGUAGUAGGAAUUCUCAAGUACGACAUGAGCACUAAUAGCUUAUCACUGAUUGAUAUGCCCCUUGCGUGGUCUGUCAAUGCCAAUGCUUCUAUCCUCAUGGCGAUGGAGGAUGACAGUUUGGGGUUUGCACAUGUCUACGGCUUAAUCCUCAAUCUGUGGUCAAGGCACAUGGGUUCUGACGGAGUUGCGUCAUGGACUCAGCGUACAGUCAUCAAUAUCAAGGACAUUCUUCCCAUUCGAAAUCCAAAUAAAGGACUUAGGCUGAUUGGAUCUGUGGAAGGCACCGAUAUCAUUUUCGUGACCACGGAUCUUGGCAUCUACAAGAUUAAUCUCAAGUCACUACAGUGGAAGAGGGAAUGGGAGAGAAAAAAGUUUCGAGCUUUCAUCCCGUACAUGAGUUUCCACAAUCCACAAGGUUUGCGGAAUGGUGGCGAUAAGAAGAAUCUGCUGGAGGGAUCGUCAGCGGAGAUGCGAGCUCAUGAUGCAGCGUCUGUGGCGCCGAUUGGUCAGCUGCCGAGAAUUACUCAGGCUGGGGAAGAUGAUCUUGAAUCUGAAUCGUACGAAGAUCCUGAAUCUGAAUCUGAAUCUGAAGAAGAUCUUGAAUCUGAAUCGGAAGAAGACUGA
rnacentral:rRNA from 1 species